UACGUAGGGUGCAGGCGUUACUCGGAAUUACUGGGCGUAAAGCGUGCGCAGGCGGUCUGCUAAGAGAGAUGUGAAAUCCCCGGGCUUAACCUGGGAACUGCGUUUCUAACUGGCAGGCUUGAGUGUGGCAGAGGGGGGUGGAAUUCCACGUGUAGCAGUGAAAUGCGUAGAGAUGUGGAGGAACACCGAUGGCGAAGGCAGCCCCCUGGGCUAACACUGACGCUCAUGCACGAAAGCGUGGGGAGCAAGCAGG
rnacentral:rRNA from 1 species